AUCAUGAACCCUCAGAGAGUCACAUGCUUGUCAACUCUACUCCCCAGGUUGGCAGCGUGCGGUGCUUUAGACUUCAGCCACUUGAAGCUCCUAACCAUCUUGUAGGAAUGGGACCACGUCCCUACAAGGGUGGUCGGAGUGAGCACCAUCCAUAUGACUAGGGAGUACGGCCCACGCUACAUGCAACCCAACUACUUUGCCCCACUUGGUUACAGGCCCACGUGACUGGACCCGGCGAUAGGAUUGUAUAAAGUAAUCAAUAUAAACAUAUUAAAAAAGUUAUGUUUCGUCCAUGUGGGAGGGAUGGGAUUUCUUCUUCCUUAAACCAAAUCAAAACUUGUUCUUCUCAGUUAGUGUAAAAAUCAAUCUCAGAUGCUAUCCUACUCUCCACUCCUCAUCUCACUGCACAACAGACUCAGAGACACAAAAAAACCUCUUUUUCCCUCUCCACCAAGGAACCCACUCACCGGCGGCGCCGCAGUUGCAUCGUCCUCUAAGAUCAUGACGUGAGUAAUAUUCGAGAAGUUUCUGAUCAUCAGGAGGUGUUUGUGGAUCCUUCCCGGGAUGAAAGUUUGAUCUUUGAGAUAUUAGAAUUGAAGGAAGAAGUUGGUGAUGAUGGAAGUGCGUCAUGGUUUCUUCAAGACCUUGCCUCUGAACAAGAAUCUGAAGGCUGCGUGAGAGGUUGUGGCUGAACUAAAGGCUGCUGGUGCCACUUGGAUUCAGUUUGAUGAGCCCACCCUUGUGAAGGAUCUUGAUUCUCACCAAUUACAAGCAUUUACUCGUGCCUACUCAGAACUAGAGUCAUCUUUGUCUGGUUUGAAUGUUAUAAUUGAAUCAUAUUUUGCUGAUGUUCCUGCCGAGGCAUACAAAACACUUACCUCUCUAAAGGGUGUAGCUGGGUAUGGCUUUGACCUUGUGAAUGAGACUAAGUUAGAUGCGGAGAUCAAGUCAUGGCUUGCAUUUGCUGCUCAAAAAGUAGUUGAAGUAAAUGCCAUGGCUAAGGCAUUGUCUGGGCACAAGGAUGAGGUGCUUUUUUCUCCCUACAUAUUAUAUUUUGAAUUGGUCUUUCGUUAGAAAUGAUCAACCAAGGUAAGAUAGAGUAUAAAUUAAUAUUCUGGAUAUUUAUCUUUUUUUUCUACUUUUUCCCUAAUUAAUGUCUUUUUGCUUUCAGGUCUGUGACCUGCUAUCAAAUUGCUUUGGCGAUUAAGGAUGAAGUUGAGGAUCUUGAAAAGGCCGUGGUGUGUAUGACAUCCACUCACCAAGGAUCCCAUCUGCAGAAGAAAUCGCUGACCGGAUCAAUAAGAUGCUUGCUGUCUUGGAGACUAACAUUCUGUAAAUGUAGAAGUUUUUGAAAUGCUCAAUGGAGAGCCUUGAUGUUGCAUUUUAUCAUAUAUCCUCUUGUAUCUGUUUUUUCCUUACAUGUUUCUACAUGGAAGAAUUGAUUGGAAAGAAGUGAAGAAUGAAAAGAAUAUUAAUACUCAA